GGAGGAAGUGACUUGUCCGAGGUCUCAGAGCAGAGAAACAGCUUAAGCUGGAUUCCAGGGCUGCUGUUCCAAGGAGGGAUAGCAAAGGGAGAAAGGGGUGGAGAAUGAGGGGAGGCAGAAAGAAAUCAGAGAGACAGGGAGAAAAUGGUGAGAGCGACCGAGGAGAGAGGGGUAAGAGAGUCAGCACCACAGAUCCGAAGAGAGGAAAAGAGGCGCAGUGAGCAAGAGAGCUGGGCACACAGGGAGAGACGGAGAGAGGAGGGGAGACAGUAACGCGGCAGAGACGGGAGAUGGAGAGAGACAGACGGAGGCAGGAAGAGACGGACAGACAGAAGGGCCAGAGCUAGUGACAGCGACAGAGGGGAGGUGGGGGAAGAGCGCGGAGCGGGCGCGGGACGGCGGGCGCGGGCGGGGGAGGAGGCCGGGGAUGCUGCGCCCCCGCCCCGCCGCCGCCCCCGCCCUGGCCGCACGCGCCCGCCCGCAGCCUAAUGACCGCAGCGCAGCCCGCGCCGCCGGCCCGGGAUCUGGGCGGCCGGCAGCUGGCAGCGCGGGGCCAGCCGGGGAGCCGCGAGGGCCGGAGCCACGGUGCCAGUCCCCCGGCUCGGCGGGCCCUGAUUGAUUUGUCAGCCAAGGCGACAAAACAGCCCCUCUGAUCCGCGCGCCCCGUCCUCGGCUUCCCGGGCGCGGGGCCUCCCUCCCGGCGCCUCGCCGGGCUCCGAGCCGGCCCCACAAGCUGGAGCGCCCCGCCUGCCCGCGGAGGGAGCCCCCCGCCCCCCGGCCCGGGCCCCGGCGCCCCUCCGCGGCCCCCCACCUCUCGCACCUCCUCCGGCUCGGCCAGGCUCGCCCGCGGGCCCUGGGGCUGCCGACUGCCCCCUCGCCGCCCCUGGGCACCGUGCCAGCGCCCCCAGCCCUCACCCUGCCGCUCCCCCCGAGCCCCGCACCCCCACCCCCCGCCCCCCGGCCCGGGCCCGGGGCCGCCCGCAGAGCCUGCCACACCCGCUGCGGAGGACUCGGAAAGCUAUUCAUCCAAGAGGCUUCCCCAGACCCCAGACCCCAGCACCAUCCUCAGAGUUUCAGGUCACCCACUGGCAGUGCCAAGGGGGUCCCCAGGCAGGCCGGUCUGGGGCCAAGGAGGGCGGCUCCCCCUGCGCGGAAUCCUUCCCUGGUGGCUCCCAGUUCCGGCGUUUUCCCUGCCUGCCGUUCCCUCGGGGGAGAUUCGGAGAGGCUGCAAAAAUCUGGGCGCCCGCUCGCUCGCUUGUCAAGAAGCAAACUGUCUUCACAUUCUCCAAGAGCAACAUCCCUGCCUAGGAAGAAGAAGGAAGAGGCAAAAUAAAUAAAACCAGUUAAUGUUGUAGUUAACUUGCAAAUCAAGUAAAUCUGUUGGUGCCGUAUUUGAGAAAUAAACCAUCAGAGCGUCACA
rnacentral:lncRNA from 1 species